UACAGAGGUCCCAAGCGUUGUUCGGAUUCACUGGGCGUAAAGGGUGCGUAGGUGGCCAGGUAAGUUCGGUGUGAAAGCUCGGAGCUUAACUCCGAAAUGUCAUUGAAUACUAUCUGGCUUGAGGGUCGGAGGGGAGACUGGAAUUCUCGGUGUAGCAGUGAAAUGCGUAGAUAUCGAGAGGAACACCAGUGGCGAAGGCGAGUCUCUGGACGACUCCUGACACUGAGGCACGAAAGCCAGGGGAGCAAACGGG
rnacentral:rRNA from 1 species